rfam:Hordeum vulgare subsp. vulgare, WGS project CAJW01000000 data, contig: morex_contig_1582304
CUCCUACUCCCUCCGUCCCAAAAUUCUUGUCUUAAAUUUGUCUAAAAAUGAAUGUUUCAAUAUACUAAAACGUGACUAGAUACACCACUAUUUAAAUAAAUCUAAGACAAAAAAUUUAAGACGAAGGGAGUAUAAA